AUGGGUGGUGGCAGAAGGACAGUAAGACGCCACCUGAUUGGGCGAGAUGUGCCCGACACUCCCACGUCAACAGUGAGAUGACCAGGUUUGUGGACGACAUGUCGAAGACGAACAAGGAUUUUAAACUCUUCUGAGAUCAGGAUACACGAGACUCUAUGAUAUUGCUUAAGCGACGGUGGAAAAUUGCAUGACAAAUAUGUUAAGAGAUAUUAUCAAUAGUAAACAUUAAUUUUCCGUUAACGUAUCAAUGUUGACUAAAAAUGCUGAUGAUGUUAAAGUAUAAAUCUACAUUGUAUUAAUUCCACGAUCAAUAUGAUUUCUGCUAAUUCUUUGGAUGGUUCCUUAGUAAUUCAGGGUAUAUUUCUGGUUUAAUGUUUAAUCGUUUUUUAUGCAUACAAUUUAAACCGUUUUAUUCAA